UGGAAAUGAUGAAAUAGAGAGAAAUGGGUGUUGAGUGUUGUAUGAUUGAAGUUUUUUAAUUAGUGUUUUAAGUAAUUAGUCUAAAUUUAAUAUUUUCUGUAAUAGUGUAUGCGUGUAUUUGUGUGUGUGCUUGAAGGCUAUGGAAAGGGGGCACUGACUGGUGGUGCUGAGAUUGGAGUGCAUCUGAGGCUGUUGUAGCAAUACAAGGGUGCUGAUUACAACAUUGCCAAUGAUUAUAACCCAAAAAGAGCUCACCUGCCUAGCCAAGCACCCUAACAUCUCUAACAGGUUCAUUAAACCUGGACCUGUGAUCUGAUCCAA
rnacentral:snoRNA from 15 species